UUGGCUUGUGCUCCUUUUGAUUUCAUCAGCAAAGAUUUUAGAAAGGGCUAUUUCCUUCAGAGUCUGGUUUUUUUUAACCUUAGAAAUAUCAGGACUGUCAAGUCCUAUCUCCCUUGUUUUUGCUGGACAACCUGUUGGACAGAAGCGCUUUGUCAGGCAUCCACUGAAAGGGCAGGAGUCAUCAUCCAGAAGAGUAAGAUACAUGAAAGAUGGAAAUGGAGAAAGAUCCAGGGACUGGAGGCAGUGAUCUUCAGGAAGGGCAACGCUGACCGUUUAGGCCCAGACAAAAAUAGAAAAGGCUCAGUUCUGGACCCUGCAUACUUUAUCUUACUGUCCCAGGGGGAUACAAGCAGAGGCACUGGAGCAGCCUCCUGCGGUGGGACCCGAGGUAGGGCUGACCUGCCCGAAGAAAGAAAUUAAAAGCCCUGAAAAGAGGGCACACUUACCAUUCACAGGAGAGGCAGAGCCACACCGAGAAGGGCUGCUGGCAUGGUUCAUCAGCCGCUUUUAUUGCCAGCUGGGAACAGUGCUGGCAGGUGAUGUCAGCAAAAACCACCACCCGCCUGAUUUAAAAGCCGGCGGUGGGGAAAUGGGAGUGGAAACAGCAACGCAGGAGAC